rnacentral:misc_RNA from 1 species
AAGUCGUAACAAGGUUUCCGUAGGUGAACCUGCGGAAGGAUCAUCAACAAAUCUAAUAAAUGGGGGGAAAAACAACCCCAUUUUAUACCAAUGUGAAUAGAGAGAGUUUUUUUUUUUAAAACUCUCUUGUAUAUUAACUUUUUAAUAAAAUGAGUCUGUUUUUAAAAUAUAAAAAAAAAUUUAUAUAUAACUUUUAACAAUGGAUCUCUUGGCUCUU